AAUAAAUCAAUUUUUCACUUUUAACCUAUAAUAUUUGACUCUUCGUCAUAUUUGAAAAAAAUUACGAUUAAUAUUUUUGUUUUUAUUAGAUGAUAAAUCAUGAAUAGUACUUUAACUGUGACUAUUUUUUAAAAAAAUUUCUUGAAAAUUUUUCAAAUAAGACGGAUGGUCAAACGCUAGACAUAAAAACC
rnacentral:pre_miRNA from 1 species